ensembl:lncRNA
GCCGCACUUGGCUGCAAAUGGAUAGCGAGGGGACUCUCUCUCUCUCCUUUCACCUCCCCGGUCUCUCGCAAAUGCUCGCAUAGAAUCGGAGUUACAGCUGGAUGUGGAAAAAAUAACUGAGUUGUUUGGUGGUGGAGCUACAACAGAGGGCAGCUACCCACCGGUGUGUGACAGAAAGGACAUGCCGCCAACGAGACAUAUGAGGCCGGGCAGGCGAUUGCUAACGCGGUGGUCAAUCAUGGAUCAGGGAAAGCGAAGGCAGGAGCGUGAGGUGAACUGAAUUUCAGGUAAGAAGUUAUGAACUGCACUCUAUUUGGGUCAGAUAUAAACAGAGUUUAGGUGUAGUUUAUUUAGCAGCAGUUCUCUUAUGUGUUGCUGAUAGCCGGCUAGCUAGCUAGCGCCGCUAGCAACCCUUCGUGAAAAAGCACCCAGUCUUGGCUUAUAUUGAAGCGGGUGAAACUCGUGUCAGCACCCGGUCGCUCUCUAUUUGGGUCAGAUAUAAACCGAGUUUAGGUGUAGUUUAUUUAGCAGCAGUUCUCUUAUGUGUUGCUGAUAGCCGGCUAGCUAGCUAGCGCCGCUAGCAUAGUUAGCUCGCGCCGCUAGCAACCCUUCGUGAAAAAGCACCCAGGCUUGGCUUAUAUUGAGGCGGGUGAAACUCGUGUCAGCACCCGGUCGCUCUCUAUUUGGGUCAGAUAUAAACCGAGUUUAGGUGUAGUUUAUUUAGCAGCAGUUCUCUUAUGUGUUGCUGAUAGCCGGCUAGCUAGCUAGCGCCGCUAGCAUAGUUAGCUAGCACCGCUAGCGACCCUUCGUGAAAAAGCACCCAGGCUUGGCUUAUAUUGAGGCGGGUGAAACUCGUGUCAGCACCCGGUCGCUCGCCGACAGUAUGUGUUUUAGCUGGACUUAUUUUUCGUUUAUAUGGACCGAUGAUUUAUUUAUUUAUUCAUUUUAGUAACGGUAUAAACAGUGAAAGGUGG